GAUGAACGCUGGCGGCGUGCCUAAUACAUGCAAGUCGAGCGAACGGAUGAGAAGCUUGCUCCUCUGACGUUAGCGGCGGACGGGUGAGUAACACGUGGAUAACCUACCUAUAAGACUGGGAUAACUUCGGGAAACCGGAGCUAAUACCGGAUAAUAUUUUGAACCGCAUGGUUCAAUAGUGAAAGACGGUUUUGCUGUCACUUAUAGAUGGAUCCGCGCUGCAUUAGCUAGUUGGUAAGGUAACGGCUUACCAAGGCAACGAUGCAUAGCCGACCUGAGAGGGUGAUCGGCCACACUGGAACUGAGACACGGUCCAGACUCCUACGGGAGGCAGCAGUAGGGAAUCUUCCGCAAUGGGCGAAAGCCUGACGGAGCAACGCCGCGUGAGUGAUGAAGGUCUUCGGAUCGUAAAACUCUGUUAUUAGGGAAGAACAAAUGUGUAAGUAACUAUGCACGUCUUGACGGUACCUAAUCAGAAAGCCACGGCUAACUACGUG
rnacentral:rRNA from 1 species